rnacentral:lncRNA from 1 species
AGCUCUGAGCGCGCCCCUACCCGGCUCGGGCCCGCAGCAGCCCCGACUGUCCGAGAGCCUCUCCGCAAGCAAGGCUCUGCGCCGCCCUCUGAGCCCACCUCCUGGCCACAACGCCGCCUGCGCUUCUCCAGCCCAGGCCGGAAGCCCUACGCUGCCUCCUGAAGCCGUUGGAACUCAAGGUCCCCUUUCACUCCCUUCUUGAAUACCCCUAGCACUUGCUGGGUUGGAGGAGCAGGGAACUCUCGGUUCUCCACUCAGGACUUUCUGGAAGCCCAUCUCCGUAUGCUCACCAGCCCACCCUCCUACGCUGGUCAGAGUGAGAUUGCUAACCUCAAGACCCCAUUCAAUGCCAGCUUUCAACUGCUGCUGAAGACCAAUGUAGGUCCUGGAUUAGAAGAACCGCAGAGUAUGCAGACAAAAGCUACCAUGUCCGCUUGGAGUGACACCCAGACAUGCACAGAGAUGUACAGGAAGCCAAGGAGAGUGGGAUCAAUCAGAGUACAGUACAAGUACAGAGUACAGUGCAAGAUGCCCAGG